rnacentral:rRNA from 1 species
UACGUAGGGUGCGAGCGUUGUCCGGAAUUAUUGGGCGUAAAGGGCUCGUAGGCGGUUUGUCGCGUCGGGAGUGAAAACACCGGGCUUAACUCGGUGCUUGCUUUCGAUACGGGCAGACUAGAGGCAGGUAGGGGAGAAUGGAAUUCCCGGUGUAGCGGUGAAAUGCGCAGAUAUCGGGAGGAACACCGGUGGCGAAGGCGGUUCUCUGGGCCUUACCUGACGCUGAGGAGCGAAAGCGUGGGGAGCGAACAGG